AGAGCGAACGCUGGCGGCAGGCUUAACACAUGCAAGUCGAGCGGGCGUGCAAGUACGUCAGCGGCAGACGGGUGAGUAACGCGUGGGAACGUACCUUUUGGUUCGGAACAACCCAGGGAAACUUGGGCUAAAUACCGGAUAAGCCCUUACGGGGAAAGAUUUAUCGCCGAAAGAUCGGCCCGCGUCUGAUUAGCUAGUUGGUGAGGUAAUGGCUCACCAAGGCGACGAUCAGUAGCUGGUCUGAGAGGACGACCAGCCACACUGGGACUGAGACACGGCCCAGGCACCUACGGGUGGCAGCAGUCGAGAAUUUUGACAAUGGGGAAACCCUGAUCGAGCGACGCCGCGUGGAGGAUGAAGGUCUUCGGAUUGUAAACUCCUGUCAUUUGGGAACAAGUCGCUUACGUUAACUGCGUGAGCGUUGAUAGUACCAGAAGAGGAAGGGCGGCUAACUCUGUGCCAGCAGCCGC
rnacentral:rRNA from 1 species